AUUUUUAUACGACUGCAAAAAUUUUAAUUUUUUGGUCGUAUAUUGCUAUCACGUUGGCGUCGUCCUGCGUCGUCGUCCGAAUACUUUUAGUUUUCGCACUCUAACUUUAGUAAAAGUGAAUAGAAAUCAAUGAAAUUUUAACACAAGGUUUAUGACCACAAAAGGAAGGUUGGGAUUGAUUUUGGGAGUUUUGGUCCCAACAUUUUAGGAAUUAGGGGCCAAAAAGGGCCCAAAUAAGCAUUUUCUUGGUUUUCGCACUAUAACUUUAGUUUAAGUGAAUAGAAAUCUAUGAAAUUUUGACACAAGGUUUAUGACCACAAAAGGACGGUUGGGAUUGUCUUUGGGAGUUUUGGUUCCAACAGUUUAGGAAUUAAGGGCCAAAAAAGGGCCCAAAUAAGCAUUAUUCUUGGUUUUCGCACAAUAACUUUAGUAUAAGUAAUAGAAAUCAAUGAAAUUUAAACACAAGGUUUAUGACCACAAAAGGAAGGUUGGGAUUGAUUUUUGGAGUUGAGGUCACAACAGUUUAUGAAUUAGGGGCCAAAAAGGGACCCAAAUAAGCAUUAUUUUUGGUUUUUGCACCAUAACUUUAGUAUAAGUAAAUAGAAAUCUAUGAAAUUUAAACACAAGGUUUAUGACCAUAAAAGGAAGGUUGGGUUUGAUUUUGGGAGUUUUGGUCCCAACAGUUUAGGAAUAAGGGGCCCAAAGGGUCCAAAAUUGAACUUUGUGUGAUUUCAUCUAAAAUUGAAUAAUUGGGGUUCUUUGAUAUG
rnacentral:lncRNA from 1 species